rnacentral:rRNA from 1 species
GAGUUUGAUCGUGGCUCAGGAUGAACGCUGGCGGCGUGCUUAACACAUGCAAGUCGAACGAGGAAUUUUAAAUGAGACUUCGGUGGAUUUUAAAAUUCUUAGUGGCGGACGGGUGAGUAACGCGUGGGCAACCUGCCCUGUACAGGGGGGACAACAGCUGGAAACGGCUGCUAAUACCGCAUAAGACCACGGAGCCGCAUGGCUCAGUGGGAAAAACUCCGGUGGUACAGGAUGGGCCCGCGUUGGAUUAGGUAGUUGGUGAGGUAACGGCCCACCAAGCCGACGAUCCAUAGCCGACCUGAGAGGGUGACCGGCCACGUUGGGACUGAGACACGGCCCAAACUCCUACGGGAGGCAGCAGUGGGGAAUCUUCCGCAAUGGGCGAAAGCCUGACGGAGCAACGCCGCGUGAGUGAAGAAUUAUUUCGGUAUGUAAAGCUCUAUCAGCAGGGAAGAAAAUGACGGUACCUGACUAAGAACGCCCGGCUAACUACGUGGCAGCAGCCG